UCAAAGAAAAAGGAGUCAACAAAAUACUCCCUUUCUCUCUCUCGAUACCCUCCACCUCCCUCACUCUCCUUCACAAAUUUCCCCAAUUUCCAUAGAAUCCUCAAUUCCAGAAACACAAUUUCUGUUAGCAUCCAUCGACCUCACUCACGCCGGCGACCAAUACGCUUUUUUCUCCACCAUCCGUGAACACCACCACCGUUGUCUCCUCCGCGAAAACCACCGAUGCAGCGAGGGGGAAAGGCAUCGUCGCUCAGCCGCUGCCGCUGCUGUUUCGCCGAUUGCCACCGCCACUGUGGAGUCACCGCCGCCUGGUUGUCGCUGCUGUGCACAAACGACGCGCGCAACAGCAGUUCGUCGCGUCGAUGGCUGCGGAUCGGCAGCCCGUGCAUUCCCAGGUUAUCGCCGCAGGGUCAGGCCACAGCAGGAGACGCAACGCGGUUGGCCGUAUUGCACACCACCGUCGCCGUCAUCCGCCGUCACCUCUUGAUUGCUGUACUACCCCCAACGUGUUCGGGCAGCCAUCGUUCAUCACCGAACCAACCCCGAAACCAACCCGAACAGCCCCGCACAACCCCAAAAGAUAAGUUCUUUAGUCAACUUUUAUGUUAAUUAGUAUUUUCCGGUUAAUUUGCCGUGGGUGUUUGAUUGUGAAUGUUUUUGAGGAUGUUGUUUGAUUGGUGAUUGAGUUAUUGAUUUAGUUAUUUGCGGGAGUUAUGUGUGAUGAUAUGCAUUGUGUAGCAAUGAUCAAAGGGAAGGGAUUAAACCUUCGUUGCAAUGAACUUGGUGGGAUCGAAAGGGAUGAGCUCCUUGGCUUGGCUGAUUGUUUCUAUGAAUGGAACCGAGCUUGCUGUAACUUUUCUUUGGGUUCCUCUUCACUUAGGAACGGAUAUUGCUAAAGGCAGUGAGGGACUGAGAGUGGAGUGAAUGUAGAAGAUGGAAGAUUGGGAGGUGGAAGAUGGAAAAUCAUGGAAGUUGGCAUUCCAUUUCUUGAGAGGAAGGGUUUGGGCUUGCACGAAGAACUUCUUUGAAUAAAUUGGGCCAAAAAUAUUAUUUGUGGAGUUGGGCUCAAGUUGGGAAAAAUAUAAGAGAGUUUGAUGGCCCAACACUCUUUUAAAAUUGUUAAGGACAUUUAGACUUUGAUUAGAAUUAAUUUGGAUCGGCCCAAGUUCUUAUAUUUAUAUUUGUUCGUUUCUUAUAUUUUUUCGUUUCCUUUCCUUUAGACAAAUUAUUAUUUGUCUUGUAAUAACUUGGUGUUAUUCCAAGUACUAUAAAAUCCGUCUCAACCAUCUCAUUCAA